rnacentral:rRNA from 1 species
GAGCGCAACCCUUGUCAUUAGUUGCUACGCAAGAGCACUCUAAUGAGACUGCCGGUGACAAACCGGAGGAAGGUGGGGAUGACGUCAAGUCCUCAUGGCCCUUAUGGGUAGGGCUUCACACGUCAUACAAUGGUACAUACAGAGGGCCGCCAACCCGCGAGGGGGAGCUAAUCCCAGAAAGUGUAUCGUAGUCCGGAUCGUAGUCUGCAACUCGACUACGUGAAGUUGGAAUCGCUAGUAAUCGCGGAUCAGCAUGCCGCGGUGAAUACGUUCCCGGGUCUUGUAC